GUGAGGAAUAUUGGUCAAUGGGCGGGAGCCUGAACCAGCCAAGUCGCGUGAAGGAAGAAGGAUCUAUGGUUCGUAAACUUCUUUUGCAGGGGAAUAAAGUGCAGGACGUGUCCUGUUUUGUAUGUACCCUGAGAAUAAGGAUCGACUAACUCCGUGCCAGCAGCCGCGGUAAUACGGAGGAUCCGAGCGUUAUCCGGAUUUAUUGGGUUUAAAGGGUGCGUAGGUGGUGUGAUAAGUCAGCGGUGAAAGGUUGCAGCUUAACUGUAAAAAUGCCGUUUGAACUGUCGGACUUGAGUGUAAAUGAGGUAGGCGGAAUGCGUGGUGUAGCGGUGAAAUGCAUAGAUAUCACGCAGAACUCCGAUUGCGAAGGCAGCUUACUAAGCUACAACUGACACUGAAGCACGAAAGCGUGGGGAUCAAACAGGAUUAGAUACCCUGGUAGUCC
rnacentral:rRNA from 1 species